rnacentral:rRNA from 2 species
GUCACUGAACUCCUAGAGAUAGGACGUUUCCCUUCGGGGAACAGAGUGACAGGUGGUGCAUGGUUGUCGUCAGCUCGUGUCGUGAGAUGUUGGGUUAAGUCCCGCAACGAGCGCAACCCUUGUUCUUAGUUGCCAGCAUUUAGUUGGGCACUCUAAGGAGACUGCCGGUGACAAACCGGAGGAAGGUGGGGAUGACGUCAAAUCAUCAUGCCCCUUAUGACCUGGGCUACACACGUGCUACAAUGGAUGGUACAAAGGGCUGCAAGACCGCGAGGUUUAGCCAAUCCCAUAAAACCAUUCUCAGUUCGGAUUGUAGGCUGCAACUCGCCUACAUGAAGCCGGAAUCGCUAGUAAUCGCGGAUCAGCAUGCCGCGGUGAAUACGUUCCCGGGCCUUGUAACACACCG